GGUUCUUGAAGGCCGUCACCUGUGCCUGGUGGGUCUGUGUGAGAACACUCAGGUCCUGCCGCUUUGAUAACUUUCGAAGUCCUUCCCUGAGGCUGCUCAGCUGGCUCAGGAGCAGAGAGACGCAGAACCCGGUGGAGCCAUUCUCACCCCCAGGCCUUCUCACUGAAACCUCAGAACAACACCCAGGAGACCCUCCUCUCGUCCCAGCAGGGGGACUGAGGCCUCCCCAGUCUCCAGCCUGGGAGCCACUCACUACCCACGGGGCCCACUUAUGUCUAAAUUGAUUAAAAUUAGGUGAAAAGUUUAGUCACACAAACUGAAGUACUGAGCCCUUUACCGUGGAAAGUUUCAGGGGGCGGCUGCUUGUGGUUCAGAAAGUUGGUCACAGGCAGGAGUCUAGAGCUACUCAGGAGGGCAGCCACCUUGGCCCCACCCCAGGCCCUGUUAUUGCAGAGGGGCCACCUGGGGGCUGCUGGGCUGACUGUGAGCGUUCUCACCCACCCCUCGACCAGCGAGCAGCUUCGUCCCGUAGGCCCGGGUUGUCAGGAGCACCGAGGAGUCCCCCCGCAGUGGCCCUGGCAGGUCAGCCCGAGAGAGCAGGGCCGCCACGUCUGCGGGGGCAGCCUCAUCAGCCUCCGUGGGUGCUGCCCGCCGCCCACUGCGUCUGCAGCUCUGUGAGCCUGACCGUCCAGCUGGGAGCAUCUGUCCUGCACACCAGCCCCCCAGGCUGUCUUCGUGGCUGUGCUCUGCGUCAUCUGACACCCCUCCUUCAACGGGAAUGUGCCUGCUGAAGCUGGCUCCGCUGUGCCCGUCUCCCAAACCGUCAGGCCCAUCCCUCUGGCCUCGGCAGGCUCCUCCUUCCCACCGGGCACCCUCUGCUGGCUCACCGGCUGGGGGGACAUCAGGCAGGAUGGGUGACUCUGGAGGUCCCCUGGUCUGCCCGCUCCAGGACCAGCGCUGGGCACAGGUGGCAGUGGUGAGCUUCAGUGGGGUCUGCGCUGAGCCCAGCCACCCGGGCGUGUGCGCCAAUGUCUCUACCUGCCAGCCCUGGAUCCGCGCCUCGGCCUCCUGCCGAGACACCUGCUCGGGGGCUGACCCCUCCCCGGGGCAUGGCCUGCCCUUCUCCCAUCAUCUCCUCCGAGCUGCCCAUUUCUGUGGGGCCCUUCCCUGCUCUGGCUCCCUGUCCCGCCUGUCCCCGCCUGUCCCGCUCUCCACCCUGACCCCCACGUGACCAGGAUGGAAGACAGCCGGGGCAUGCAGCCGGCUUGACUUGUUUAAAGCAAAGAGCUGGGUCAGGAGGGAAGCACAAAGUUGCUGGGCCCUGCGGGUGGCCUCGGGGGCCCUGGGGGCCUGGGGGACUGGGGGCGGCCAACACCCUGAUGCUAACACCAAAUGCUUGGUAGCCUGCUCCUCUGGCCUGUUCAUUUGAACAGUCAUGGCAGUGGGGGCUGCAGGACCACAUGUCCUAAGCGGACAUCCCCAGGGGGGCUCUGCACCCCUGGUUUGGGGGUGUCUGAGGUGGGGGAGGUGGGGAAGGCUGUGGAUAGUGUUUGGUCUCAGAGCAGUGGCCUGAGGCUCACCCUGGUCUGGGAAGGCUACAUAACUGGCAGUGUC
ensembl:lncRNA